CCUACGGGGAGCAGCAGUGAGGAAUAUUGGUCAAUGGACGAGAGUCUGAACCAGCCAAGUAGCGUGAAGGAUGACUGCCCUAUGGGUUGUAAACUUCUUUUAUACAGGAAUCAAACGAUGCACGUGUGCCUUUUUGCAUGUACUUUAUGAAUAAGGAUCGGCUAACUCCGUGCCAGCAGCCGCGGUAAUACGGAGGAUCCGAGCGUUAUCCGGAUUUAUUGGGUUGAAAGGGAGCGUAGAUGGGUUGUUACGGCAGUGGUGAAAGUUUGCGGGUCAACCGUAAAAUUGCAAUGGAUACUGGCAGUCUUGAGUACAGUUGAGGUAGGCGGAAUGCGUGGUGUAGCGGUGAAAUGCUUAGAUAUCACGAAGAACCCCGAUUGCGAAGGCAGCUUACUAAACUGUGACUGACAUUGAUGCUCGAAAGUGUGGGUAUCAAACAGGAUUAGAUACCCGUGUAGUC
rnacentral:rRNA from 1 species